GCCCCGCUAGUGUAGUCCGGUCAAUCAUCGCGCACUUUCGAUGCGUGGACAGGGGUUCAAAUCCCCUGCGGGGCA
rnacentral:tRNA from 1 species